UCAAAAAUAUUCGAAGAAGAUAAGUUUCACUUUUUAUCGCAUGCCGUUGAUAACAAGGGGAAAAAGAAAAAAUGAAAAGAAGGAGAAUAAUAAGUUAUUCUACUAAGAAUUUAUAUUAUGUAAAUAUUUAACAAAGUAAAUAAAUUCAACAAAUUUUAAGUUUCAUGUAUCAAGGUCAGAAAAAAAAAUUUAUAAAUAUUGUUAGAUGUAAUUAUACUUAUUUCAUUAGAAAUUAAUAUUAAUUAUUAAUUAUUUUUCCAUUCAAUGGAGGCGUGUAAUUGAUGAGUCUAUCAACCUAAUUUUGCAUUAAUUCAUUAGAAAUUAAUAUUAAUUAUUCAUUCUUGCAUAUGACACUUUAAAAUGGAGUCAAUCGAUCAUAUUCGUCUCUUCGUUUUACCUCUCUCUCUCUUUCUCUCUCUCUCUCUCUCUCUCUCUCUCUCUUUCGUGCAAUCCUAGUUGAAAUGGAAUGUUACAUAGAGAAGUCAACGAAUUUGAAGCCGGUAAACGAGACCCAGAGGCACGGUAAAACUAGAUACAUUGCCGUGAGCGUAGUACUGCUAUUCCCAAUAGAACAUUACGUAUAAUGUGACGUGUAGGUGUAGGUUUAUGCGCAUGCACGCGCAACAUUUCCGUCUUCACUUUGAACGGUGCAUACAAACGGUGAACGUUUUCGUUGACACGUUGAGUUGCAUUUUCAUAACGAUCAAAGUCUGUGUGCAUCGGGAAUAUUCAUACCGAGGAAAGACAUAUUCCUCUGCAGCUAUUCUCAGAGAUGCAAUUUUCUCUUUCCUUUUCUAUCCCUCUUUCUUUCUCUCUUUCUCUUUCUCUUUCUCUCUCUCUUUCUCUCUCUCUUUCCAUCUUUCUCUUUCUACUACAAAAUCGUCGAGAAGAUAUCGUUGCAGACAAAAUGAAGAAGGAUAAAAGAUAAAGGAACAGCAACAGCAACAGCAACAGCAACAGCAACAAUAGUGCCGUUAAACAGUUAAAAUCCUUCGGAUCUUUUGCUACGUUCAAAGUUGGAACGAAUCACUUUGUAUUUCAAUAUGACAUGGAUGGACAGGCAGAAAGGCCGAAUGAACGAGACGAGAUGAACAGUACUUUGGCGAAGGACACGAAGGAUGCAAAGGGGAAAAAAAAAAAGAAGAAAAGAGAACGACACACAACUUUCCUUCUAUUCACUAAAGCUCGUUACCCUUAUGAACUUCAUUCUCAUUUAAUUAUCAAAUUUAAUUUCGUCCUCGUUAUAGACGAUCAGACAGAUACACCAACGUGAUUCCAUAUGCGAUGCCAUCAUAGUCGCCUGUUUACAUUUGGCCACAGCACUAGCCUAAUUUUAGGAUAACAAAUACGUGCUCGUUUCUACGGCUUACACAACGUAAGGACAUUUCUAUUUGUAUUUGCACGGACAUCGUGGCUAUACCUUUUACUUUCUCUACCAUCAAAGAGGAUUAGAACACUUUAGAUGAUCUUCUCUAGUAUCUUUUAAUCUUACGAUAAUUAUAACGUAAAGUUUAUCCUAUUUCUAAUUCUAUCGAAUUUCAAUUAAAUUUGUUUUUCUUUGUCAUUAUGUUUUUUAAUUUAACAUCGUUAUCCUAAUAGAUUUGUCUUAUUAUUUAUGAUCAUCAUAUAUUCUUGUUGUUUGUUAAUUAAAAUUAGAAAAAAUCAAAAAAUAUAAUUUUAUCGCAAUUAAUAUCGAUCGCUUGCCUUUUUUCACUGUCUACUAAUUGCACUGUUUAUUUAUGAAUUGUACAAACAAAAUGUACGAAUGGCAAUUAUAACAUAAAAAAAAAAAAAAAAUGACAAACUAGUUGAUUGAUAAUAACGAAACUUUUCGUGAUAAUUAUUAGUCGAAUUUUCUUUGGAUAUA